AGCCUGUGGGUACCGAGGCAUGCUUGACAC
rnacentral:piRNA from 1 species